GUAAGUUGUUGAGAGCGUAUGGUGGAUGCCUUGGCAUCAGGAGCCGAUGAAGGACGUGGGAAUCUGCGAUAAGCCUGGGGGAGUUGAUAACCGGACGGUGAUCCCAGGAUGUCCGAAUGGGGGAACCCCGCAUGCUGUGAGGUGUGUGACCUGACACUGAAUAUAUAGGUGUUAUGGAGGGAACGAGGGGAAGUGAAACAUCUCAGUACCCUCAGGAAGAGAAAACAAUAGUGAUUCCGUUAGUAGUGGCGAGCGAACGCGGAUGGGGCUAAACCUGUAUCGUGUGAUACCCGGCAGGGGUUGCGGUAUGGGGGUUGUGGGUGUAUGUGUCCAGUUACUGCCGUGGCUGGCUGGUGAGGUGCGGGCGUGGAGACGAAGCAGUGUGAGUGCUGCACCGUAGAGGGUGUGAGUCCCGUAGUCGUAUUAUGUUCCGCCGCUAGAUCGUAUGACCCGAGUAGCACGGGGCUCGUGGAAUCUCGUGUGAAUCUGCCAGGACCACCUGGUAAGCCUGAAUACUACCUGAUGACCGAUAGCGGAUCAGUACCGUGAGGGAAUGGUGAAAAGUACCCCGGGAGGGGAGUGAAAUAGUGCCUGAAACCAUGCGCUUACAAACCGUCAAAGCCUUAUUAAGGUGAUGGCGUGCCUUUUGAAGAAUGAGCCUGCGAGUUAGUGCUGUGUCGCGAGGUUAACCCGUGUGGGGUAGUCGUAGCGAAAGCGAGUCUGAAUAGGGCGUUUCAGUGGCACGGUCUAGACCCGAAGCGGGGUGAUCUACCCAUGGCCAGGUUGAAGCGUGUGUAAGAGCACGUGGAGGACCGAACCCACCUAGGUUGAAAACUGGGGGGAUGAGCUGUGGGUAGGGGUGAAAGGCCAAUCAAACUCCGUGAUAGCUGGUUCUCCCCGAAAUGCAUUUAGGUGCAGCGUUACGUGUUUCUUUACCGUGGUAGAGCUACUGGAUGGCUGAUGGGCCCUACAAGGUUACUGACGUCAACCAAACUCCGAAUGCGGUGAAGUGAGAGCGUAGCAGUGAGACUGUGAGGGAUAAGCUUCAUGAGUCGAGAGGGAAACAGCCCAGAACAUCAGCUAAGGCCCCUAAGCGUGUGCUAAGUGGGAAAGGAUGUGGAGUUGCUGAGACAACCAGGAGGUUGGCUUAGAAGCAGCCACCCUUGAAAGAGUGCGUAAUAGCUCACUGGUCAAGUGAUUCCGCGCCGACAAUGUAGCGGGGCUCAAGUACACCGCCGAAGCUGUGUCACUCCACAUAUUGUGGGGUGGGUAGGGGAGCGUCGGGCAUGCGGUGAAGCCUGGGUGGAAACCAUCAGGUGGAGCGUGUUCGAGUGAGAAUGCAGGCAUGAGUAGCGAAUGGCGGGUGAGAAACCCGUCCGCCGAAUGAUCAAGGGUUCCAGGGUCAAGUUUUUCUUCCCUGGGUGAGUCGGGACCUAAGGCGAGGCCGACAGGCGUAGUCGAUGGACAACGGGUUGAUAUUCCCGUACCGGCGAAGAACCGCCCAUAUCGAAGCGAUGAUGCUAACCACCCCAAGCACGCUUGAUCGACUACCUAGUAGUUGACUGGUGUGUGCGGCGUGGGACCCGAUUUGUGGAGGUAAACGUGUUAACAGGUGUGACGCAGAGAGGUAGCCGGGCCAGGCAAUGGAAUCGACCUGGUCUAAGAGUGUAGGCCGGUGUAUAGGCAAAUCCGUACACCACACGGCUGAGACUUGAUGGGCGCCCACGAUUGGUGGGUGAUCCGGUGAUCCUGUACUGCCUAGAAAAACAUCGACGUGAGGUUCUAGCUGCCCGUACCCGAAACCGACACAGGUGAUCUGGUAGAGAAUACCGAGGCGAACGAGAGAAUCAUGGUUAAGGAACUCGGCAAAAUGCCCCCGUAACUUCGGAAGAAGGGGGGCCUGCCCCGUGACCCCUACUUGCUGGGGUGAGCGGGUGUGGGCCGCAGAGACCAGAGGGAAGCGACUGUUUACUAAAAACAUAGGUCCGUGCGAAGUCGCAAGACGAUGUAUACGGACUGACUCCUGCCCGGUGCUGGAAGGUUAAGAGGACCUGUUAGAACCCUUUGUGGUUCGAAGCGGAGAAUUUAAGCCCCAGUAAACGGCGGUGGUAACUAUAACCAUCCUAAGGUAGCGAAAUUCCUUGUCGGGUAAGUUCCGACCUGCACGAAU
rnacentral:rRNA from 1 species